GAUUGUGACUCAGCGGUAGAGCGCUCGCCUAGCAUGUGCAAGGCCCUGGGUUCCAUCCUCAGCAGCA
rnacentral:tRNA from 1 species